rnacentral:rRNA from 1 species
AUGGCCUCUCAGAGAGCAACCACGGCGGCGGCGUGGACCAACGAAGAGGACAUGGCGCGGCCGCCCGCCGGAGGAGGACUGGUUAGUGGCGCUCGCGGUCGACGGAGGAGGAGCGGCGCAAGGGCAUCCCGUGGACAGAGGAGGAGCACAGGCCGUUCUUGCUGCCGGCUGGACAAGUUCGGCAAGGGCGACUGGGCGCAACUUGGUCAUCUCCCGGGCCGGACGCCGACGCACAAGUGCUUCAUCCGCCUCAACUCCAUGAACCGGGACCGCCGCCGCUCCAGCAUCCACGACAUCACCACCAUCAACAACGCCGCCCCGCAGCCGCAGCACGGCCCCGUCACCGGCGGCGUCAUGGGCAUGUACGGAGGGGCGCCCAUGGGCCACCCGGUCGCCGCCGCAGUCGGGACGCCGGGGCCGGGGGCACCCGCGCUACGUCAUGCCCCUCGGCUGCCCGGCCCCGCAUCAGUAGGCAUGCCAUGCUUGCUUGGUCUCUGCUCUGAUUCGUGCGCGCGCGCGACACGCCGGCAUGCAUGUCAAGCGCAUCGACGAACCACGCCGGCCCUUGUGCUAGUGUAUUGGGUCAGUGCAUUCGGCCAGGAAGACGGUCUUCGGACCGGGCGAGCCCCAUGUCCCUCUGUUUCCUUGCUCUCUUCGUCUCGCCAAAAGCCGUCGCACCACCUCCACUUCCGCCUUCGGUGCCCCGCUGCAAUCACCUGCUGGUCGGCCCGUGCGCUCAAGAGGGGCGUCAGUGUCGGCGACUUCAUUGGCCGCCUCCUCCUCUCCUCUUCAAUCGGGACUCCCGCGAACACUGACCUCGCCGGCAGAUCCCUCAGCUGUCAGGGAAGGCAACCAUCAACGAAGAUUGAGGGUGCCUCUCCGGCGAGCGUGCUCGUGUCGUGGUGGUUUCCCACAUCCCAGCAGCGUGGGGGAGGCGGUGUCCUCUGCAACUAG